rnacentral:rRNA from 11 species
CGGGGAGGUAGUGACGAAAAAUAACGAUACGGGACUCAUCCGAGGCCCCGUAAUCGGAAUGAGUACACUUUAAAUCCUUUAACGAGGACCAAUUGGAGGGCAAGUCUGGUGCCAGCAGCCGCGGUAAUUCCAGCUCCAAUAGCGUAUAUUAAAGUUGUUGCGGUUAAAAAGCUCGUAGUUGAAUCUGUGUGUCACAGUGUCGGUUCACCGCUCGCGGUGUUUAACUGGCAUUAUGUGGUACGUCCUACCGGUGGGCUUAGCUCCUCGCGGGCGGUCCAACUAAUAUCCCAUCGCGGUGCUCUUCACUGAGUGUCGAGGUGGGCCGGUACGUUUACUUUGAACAAAUUAGAGUGCUCAAAGCAGGCUACCUUCGCCUGAAUACUCUGUGCAUGGAAUAAUGGAAUAGGACCUCGGUUCUAUUUUGUUGGUUUUCGGAACCCCGAGGUAAUGAUUAAUAGGGACAGAUGGGGGCAUUCGUAUUGCGACGUUAGAGGUGAAAUUCUUGGAUCGUCGCAAGACGGACAGAAGCGAAAGCAUUUGCCAAAAAUGUUUUCAUUAAUCAAGAACGAAAGUUAGAGGUUCGAAGGCGAUCAGAUACCGCCCUAGUUCUAACCAUAAACGAUGCCAGCUAGCGAUCCGCCGAAGUUCCUCCGAUGACUCGGCGGGCAGCUUCCGGGAAACCAAAGCUUUUGGGUUCCGGGGGAAGUAUGGUUGCAAAGCUGAAACUUAAAGGAAUUGACGGAAGGGCACCACCAGGAGUGGAGCCUGCGGCUUAAUUUGACUC